UACGUAGGGGGCAAGCGUUGUCCGGAAUCAUUGGGCGUAAAGAGCGUGUAGGCGGCUCGAUAAGUCUGCUGUGAAAGUCCAGGGCUCAACCCUGGAAGGCCGGUGGAAACUGUCGGGCUAGAGUCCGGAAGAGGCGAGUGGAAUUCCCGGUGUAGCGGUGAAAUGCGCAGAUAUCGAGAGGAACACCAGUGGCGAAGGCGAGUCUCUGGACAUUUCCUGACGCUGAGGCACGAAAGCCAGGGGAGCAAACGGG
rnacentral:rRNA from 1 species